rnacentral:rRNA from 1 species
AUUGAACGCUGGCGGAAUGCUUUACACAUGCAAGUCGAACGGCAGCACGGGGCAACCUGGUGGCGAGUGGCGAACGGGUGAGUAAUACAUCGGAACGUGCCCAAUCGUGGGGGAUAACGUAGCGAAAGUUACGCUAAUACCGCAUACGAUCUACGGAUGAAAGCGGGGGAUCGCAAGACCUCGCGCGAAUGGAGCGGCCGAUGUCAGAUUAGGUAGUUGGUGGGGUAAAGGCUCACCAAGCCAACGAUCUGUAGCUGGUCUGAGAGGACGACCAGCCACACUGGGACUGAGACACGGCCCAGACUCCUACGGGAGGCAGCAGUGGGGAACUUUGGACAAUGGACGCAAGCCUGAUCCAGCCAUUCCGCGUGCAGGAUGAAGGCCUUCGGGUUGUAAACUGCUUUUGUACGGAACGAAACGGCUCUCUCUAAUACAGGGGGCUAAUGACGGUACCGUAAGAAUAAGCACCGGCUAACUACGUGCCAGCCGCCGCGGUAA